rnacentral:rRNA from 1 species
CCUACGGGAGGCAGCAGUGGGGAAUAUUGCGCAAUGGGCGAAAGCCUGACGCAGCGACGCCGCGUGAGGGAUGAAGGUCUUCGGAUCGUAAACCUCUGUCAGCAGGGAAGAACGGUCACUGUGCUAAUCAGCAGUGAAUUGACGGUACCUGCAAAGGUAGCACCGGCUAACUCCGUGCCAGCAGCCGCGGUAAUACGGAGGGUGCGAGCGUUAAUCGGAAUUACUGGGCGUAAAGCGCUCGUAGGCGGUAUGUCAAGUCAAGGGGGAAAUCCCCGCGCUCAACGUGGGAACUGCCUUUGAAACUGGCAAACUGGAGUGUGUGAGAGGAUAGUGGAAUUCGAGGUGUAGGAGUGAAAUCCGUAGAUAUCUGGAGGAACAUCAGUGGCGAAGGCGACUAUCUGGCACAUAACUGACGCUGAGGAGCGAAAGCGUGGGUAGCAAACAGGAUUAGAUACCCCAGUAGUC